rnacentral:misc_RNA from 1 species
GAUGAAGAACGCAGCGAAAUGCGAUAAGUAGUGUGAAUUGCAGAAUUCAGUGAAUCAUCGAAUCUUUGAACGCACAUUGCGCCCCUUGGUAUUCCAUGGGGCAUGCCUGUUCGAGCGUCAUUUGUACCCUCAAGCUAUGCUUGGUGUUGGGUGUUUGUCUCGCCUUUGCGUGUAGACUCGCCUUAAAAUAAUUGGCAGCCGGCGUAUUGAUUUCGGAGCGCAGUACAUCUCGCGCUUUGCACUCAUAACGACAGCGUCCAAAAGUACAUUUUACACUCUUGACCUCGGAUCAGGUAGGGAUACCCGCUGAACUUAAGCAUAUCAAUAAGCGGAGGA